rnacentral:rRNA from 1 species
CCUACGGGAGGCAGCAGUGGGGGAUAUUGCACAAUGGGGGAAACCCUGAUGCCGCGACGCCGCGUGAGUGAAGAAGUAUUUCGUUAUGUAAAGCUCUAUCAGCAGGGAAGAAAAAAGACGGUACCUGACUAAAAAGCCCCGGCUAACCACGGACCAGCAGCCGCGGGAAUACGGAGGGGGCAAGCGUUAUCCGGAUUUAAUGGGUGUAAAGGGAGCGUAGACGGUAAUAGAAGUCCGAAGUGAAAUGCCAGGGCUCAACCUGGGAACUGCGUUGGAAACUGUAUGGCUGGAGUGCCGGAGAGGUAAGCGGAAUUCCUAGUGUAGCGGUGAAAUGCGUAGAUAUUAGGAGGAACACCAGUGGCGAAGGCGGCUUACUGGACAGUAACUGACGCUGAGGCUCGAAAGCGUGGGGAGCAAACAGGAUUAGAUACCCCAGUAGUC